AGUGAACGCUGGCGGUAGGCCUAACACAUGCAAGUCGAACGGCAGCACAGUAAGAGCUUGCUCUUACGGGUGGCGAGUGGCGGACGGGUGAGGAAUACAUCGGCAUCUACUUUUUCGUGGGGGAUAACGUAGGGAAACUUACGCUAAUACCGCAUACGACCUACGGGUGAAAGCAGGAGAUAUUCGGACCUUGCGCGAUUGAAUGAGCCGAUGUCGGAUUAGCUAGUUGGCGGGGUAAAGGCCCACCAAGGCGACGAUCCGUAGCUGGUCUGAGAGGAUGAUCAGCCACACUGGAACUGAGACACGGUCCAGACUCCUACGGGAGGCAGCAGUGGGGAAUAUUGGACAAUGGGCGCAAGCCUGAUCCAGCCAUACCGCGUGGGUGAAGAAGGCCUUCGGGUUGUAAAGCCCUGUUGUUGGGAAAGAAAAGCAGCAGGUGAAUACCCCGCUGUUCUGACGGUACCCAAAGAGUAAGCACCGGCUAACUUCGUG
rnacentral:rRNA from 1 species